rnacentral:lncRNA from 1 species
UUUUUUAGAAGAAUUUGGGGCGAAAUGCUGCUCAAAUUUUGGUGUAGUAAGAAUGUGCAAACACCCCCUUUUAUAGGGUUGUAAACAUAACUUUUGGUGGCAAUUUUAAUUGAAAAGUGGCGCCAGUUUUUUUCAUGUUUAAUGUGUUCAUUUUUUUCGGCUAUUUGGAGGGAAUUAGGCAGCGACAAUUUUGGGAAAUGAACAAAAAUUUAAAGAAAAAAAAGGAAUAAAUAGAAAUAAAAAAAAUGUGGCAGAAAUUAAUUUAAUGAAAUUUUCGAAUU